UAACGUGUGUGGGAGCCUGGAGUGACCCUUUAAUAAUAUAAACCCACCCAGUAUAACUAACUGUAACCUAACAUACACAGUGCAUCUAACGUGUGUGGGAGCCUGGAGUGUCCCUUUAAUAAUAUAAACCCACCCAGUUUAACUAACUGUAACCUAACCUACACAGUGCAUCUAACGUGUGUGGGAGCCUGGAGUGUCCCUUUAAUAAUAUAA